rnacentral:tRNA from 1 species
GUGGAUGUAGCUCAGUUGGUAGAGCGCUUGCCUAUAAUACAAGGGUAAGGUCCUGAGUUCAAUCCCCAGCACCCAUA